CGUGUAGGCGGUUUGGCAAGUCGAGUGUGAAAUCCCACGGCUCAACCGUGGAACUGCGCUCGAAACUGCCUUACUUGAGUGCGGGAGAGGUGUGCGGAAUUCCUGGUGUAGCGGUGGAAUGCGUAGAUAUCAGGAAGAACACCGGUGGCGAAGGCGGCACACUGGCCCAGCACUGACGCUGAGGCGCGAAAGCUAGGGGAGCAAACG
rnacentral:rRNA from 1 species